rnacentral:lncRNA from 1 species
ACAUAAUAUCUAUCUUGAUCAUAUGGAUCUUGCACAUAGAAGCAUUGGUGUACUUGAGAUGCUAGGACAAAAGGCUCAUUCUGAUAACAUUUCUUGUUGAAGUAGACAUAAAUAAGGCCAUAAAUAUCUUCUUCAACCUCAUACCAGUCACACUUAAAUAAGACAAUCCUAAAAUAUCCACAAUAGUCUAACUCAACUAUAUCAACUAAUCUAUCAUAAUAAGUCAAAUUUGCGUCAACUGGAUUUUUAUCUUUUGAGCUUGCAAAACUUGUAGUUUGAUCUAUUAUUGUAACAUCACUAUUUUGUGUUUUACGUCUUGCAUCACACUGCCUCACAUAGAAUCUAUA